rfam:Schistosoma mattheei strain Denwood, Zambia genome assembly, scaffold: SMTD_scaffold0024268
AGCUUUUCGAAUCCGUGGUGAGAUUUCGUCAGACACCGAACCAUUAGGACUGAUCAGACUCUCAAGAUGUGUGAAGCU